UGGGGAAUCUUGCGCAAUGGACGAAAGUCUGACGCAGCGACGCCGCGUGAGUGAUGAAGGCCUUCGGGUUGUAAAGCUCUGUGGGGAGAGACGAAUAAGUCGUAGCUAAUAUCUCCGAUGAUGACGGUAUCUCCUUAGCAAGCACCGGCUAACUCUGUGCCAGCAGCCGCGGUAAGACAGAGGGUGCAAACGUUGUUCGGAAUUACUGGGCGUAAAGCGUGUGUAGGCGGCCAAAUAAGUCGGAUGUGAAAGCCCCGGGNUCAACCCGGGAAUGCACUCGAUACUGUUUGGCUAGAGUAUCGGAGAGGUUGGUGGAAUUCUUGGUGUAGAGGUGAAAUUCGUAGAUAUCAAGAGGAACACCGGUGCGAAGGCGGCCAACUGGACGAAUACUGACGCUGAGAUACGAAAGCG
rnacentral:rRNA from 1 species